rnacentral:rRNA from 1 species
CCCUUAGAUGUUCUGGGCUGCACGCGUGCUACAAUGGCGUUUCCAGCAAGUCUGCGAACCCGAGAGGGCCAGCGGAUCUUCGAAUUGGCGUCGUGAUCGGGACAGUCGAUUGCAAUUAUUUGACUCAAACGAGGAAUUCCUUGUAAUCGCGAUUCAUCAUAUCGCGCUGAAUACGUCCCUGCCCUUUGUACACACCGCCCGUCGCUCCUACCGAUUGAAUGCUCAGGUGAGCCAUUCGGACUUUCAUCAUGCUGGUUUCCAGUUUUGAUGAAGGAAAGUCUUGCGAACCUUAUCAUUUAGAGGAAGGAGAAGUCGUAACA